rnacentral:other from 1 species
AUUCCCGGUGCUGCACAGAGAGGACCCGUGUCCCGUGGACUGGGAGUUCCUGGAGAGCCGCCUCUGAACAGCUGGCGAUAACUUCCUAGUCCCGUUUCUUCAUUUUCCUUUGUGUUGCGCUUCGGAACAUCCAGAAACC